CUAAUACAUGCAAGUCGAGCGGAUGUGAUGGGAGCUUGCUCCCUGAAGUCAGCGGCGGACGGGUGAGUAACACGUGGGUAACCUGCCUGUAAGACUGGGAUAACUCCGGGAAACCGGGGCUAAUACCGGAUAGUUCUUUUCCUCGCAUGAGGAAAAGUGGAAAGGCGGCUUCGGCUGCCACUUACAGAUGGACCCGCGGCGCAUUAGCUAGUUGGUGAGGUAACGGCUCACCAAGGCAACGAUGCGUAGCCGACCUGAGAGGGUGAUCGGCCACACUGGGACUGAGACACGGCCCAGACUCCUACGGGAGGCAGCAGUAGGGAAUCUUCCGCAAUGGACGAAAGUCUGACGGAGCAACGCCGCGUGAGUGAUGAAGGUUUUCGGAUCGUAAAGCUCUGUUGUUAGGGAAGAACAAGUGCCGUUCGAAUAGGGCGGCACCUUGACGGUACCUAACCAGAAAGCCACGGCUAACUACGUGCCAGCAGCCGCGGUAAUACGUAGGUGGCAAGCGUUGUCCGGAAUUAUUGGGCGUAAAGCGCGCGCAGGCGGUCUCUUAAGUCUGAUGUGAAAGCCCACGGCUCAACCGUGGAGGGUCAUUGGAGACUGGGGGGACUUGAGUACAGAAGAGGAAGAGGU
rnacentral:rRNA from 1 species